rnacentral:tRNA from 1 species
CAGGGAGACAACACAAUGAUUUUGAUGCCUGAGUACUUUUAUUCUUAGGCCGAAAUCCUGUCACCUUAGGUCGAUCGGUACCUCAGCAUUAAGAGCAGUGAUUGAUGAGCAAUCAUCAAGAGACUGAAGGAGAUGUUCAGUUCCUAAACUUUGUCUAGGUCACACCCCAAAAGGGAUGAGACUCCUGGGCCAUUAGCUCAGGUGGUUAGAGCGCACCCCUGAUAAGGGUGAGGUCCCUGGUUCGAGUCCAGGAUGGCCCAUUCGGUGUUGGGGGUUUAGCUCAGUUGGUAGAGCGCCUGCUUUGCAAGCAGGAUGUCAGGAGUUCGAGUCUCCUAACCUCCACUGACCGAACUUGAUUCCCAUCUCCAAUUUUUUUGGAGUUGAGCUCGAUUGGAGUGUGAUUUAGAUGUGUCCGCUGGAUGACCCCAGCUUCCUGUCAUUCCAAGUUUUAGGUUAAAGCCUUGAAUUUGGUUGAUAAGAUGCUGGGCUCGGAUCAAAUGAUCAAGCAAUUGAUGAUUUGAUUUGAAGUUCUAGCAGAACCUUGACAACUGCAUAGGUGAGUCUGGAAAAAACAAAGCAUCUUACAGAUGCAUUGUUUUGAAUCUGAUCUUCUGAAAGGGAGAUUGGAUCUAGAACAAUGAAAAUUCUUUUGAGCAAGAGCCGAGACUCUUGAGCGUUCUUUGAUUGGUGUCGAGCCAAUCAGAGUUUGAUCUUGUUUUUAGUAAUAAAAACUUGAGAAUCUGCUUUCAACGGCGGUAAGCGUUCAAGAGGUUAAUU